AUACUUACCUGGCAGGGAAGAUACCGUGAUCAUGAAGGUGGUUUUCCCAGGAUGAGGCUUAUCUAUUACACUUCAGAUGUGCUGCUCCCUGCGAUUUUACCAAAUAUGGGAAACUCGAGUGCAUAAUUUGUGGUAGUAGGGGACUGUGUUCAUGCUUUUCCCAG